rnacentral:rRNA from 1 species
AAUGAACGUUGGCGGCGUGGAUUAGGCAUGCAAGUCGUACGGGUGUAGCAAUACACCAGUGGCGAAAGGGACAGUAAUGUGUAGGUUACCUGCCUUCAGGACAGGGAUAGCGGCGGGAAACUGCCGGUAAUACCUGAUAAUAUCUCCGGAUCAAAGGUGUGAAUCCGCCUGAAGAUGGGCCUAUAUCCUAUUAGCUAGUUGGUAAGGUAACGGCUUACCAAGGCGAUGAUGGGUAGCGGGUGUGAGAGCACGACCCGCGUCAUUGGGACUGAGACACUGCCCAGACACCUACGGGUGGCAG